rnacentral:rRNA from 1 species
CGGGAAACCGGGGCUAAUACCGGAUAACAUUUUGAACUGCAUGGUUCGAAAUUGAAAGGCGGCUUCGGCUGUCACUUAUGGAUGGACCCGCGUCGCAUUAGCUAGUUGGUGAGGUAACGGCUCACCAAGGCAACGAUGCGUAGCCGACCUGAGAGGGUGAUCGGCCACACUGGGACUGAGACACGGCCCAGACUCCUACGGGAGGCAGCAGUAGGGAAUCUUCCGCAAUGGACGAAAGUCUGACGGAGCAACGCCGCGUGAGUGAUGAAGGCUUUCGGGUCGUAAAACUCUGUUGUUAGGGAAGAACAAGUGCUAGUUGAAUAAGCUGGCACCUUGACGGUACCUAACCAGAAAGCCACGGCUAACUACGUGCCAGCAGCCGCGGUAAUACGUAGGUGGCAAGCGUUAUCCGGAAUUAUUGGGCGUAAAGCGCGCGCAGGUGGUUUCUUAAGUCUGAUGUGAAAGCCCACGGCUCAACCGUGGAGGGUCAUUGGAAACUGGGAGACUUGAGUGCAGAAGAGGAAAGUGGAAUUCCAUGUGUAGCGGUGAAAUGCGUAGAGAUAUGGAGGAACACCAGUGGCGAAGGCGACUUUCUGGUCUGU